ensembl:rRNA 5S_rRNA 5S ribosomal RNA
GCCAGCAGCUAGCCCCCUGCAACUUUCACAUGGUCGCCCACUGAAGCCAAGCAGGGCUGCACCCGCUCAGUACCGGGAUAGGAGCCCACAUGGGAAAGCUAGGUUGCUGCUGGAA